rnacentral:rRNA from 1 species
UUUACCCGGAAAGGCCUUACCAAAUCUUGACAUCCCUCUGACAAAAGCGCUGUAUGGGUCUCUCUUCGGAGCAUCAGUGACAGGUGGUGCAUGGUUGUCGUCAGCUCGUGUCGUGAGAUGUUGGGGUUAAGUCCCGCAACGAGCGCAACCCUUGUCCUUAGUAGCCCAGCAUUUAGAGGUGGGCACUCUAGGGAGACUGCCGGGGAAAACCGGGAGGAAGGGGGGGAUGACGUCAAAUCAUCAUGCCCCUUAUGAUUUGGGCUACACACGUGCUACAAUGGCGUAAACAAAGGGAAGCAAAGUGGUGAGCAUGAGCAAAUCUCAAAAAUAACGUCUCAGUUCGGAUUGUAGUCUGCAACUCGACUACAUGAAGCUGGAAUCGCUAGUAAUCGCGAAUCAAAAUGUCGCGGUGAAUACUUUCCCGGGUCUUGUCCCCCCCGAA